rnacentral:lncRNA from 1 species
UGCAGCCUCAGCAGACUGUCAUCUUUUUAUGGGUGGUUAAGCCUGUUCUGCCAGCUAUCUGAACUCCUUUGGGGAGGGGUUUAUCUCUCCCUGCCUAGGGUUCUCUAUCCCUACAGGGUUAGAGGCUUUUCUAUUACAUGGAGACUCAGGUUAUGGAAUCCCCAAGACAUGAGCUCACUUCCUUGGCAGCAUCUCCAAACAGAACUUAGAACCCUUGUUAAUGGGUGUCACAAUCUAGAAACAGCCAUCUCCCAAGCUCACUUGGCCGGAGACAGUCAACAGCGAACAUGCUGAGCUGCUUCUCCACUUCAAGAGGCCACAGCCUCAGGAACCCAGGUAGAGAAAGUAUCUGUGAAAGAUUAAGAAGACGGCUGACUCCAUCCAGAUGCUGCAGGCCACACUGCAGCAGCUGCACGACUGUCACAGACACCCCAGGGAUGGUCUCCCCAGGAGUUACCACCAAUGACCUACCAAAAUCAAGGUACCCCAGUGAAGUCUCCCUAAGCCCAAAUACCAAUGACACAGAAACUGGGAAGAGCGUGGGGCAAGUAUCAUGAGGCCCAGAAACACCCAGUAGCUCUGGGCAGGCCUCCCUGGAGCCAGGCAGAGAAAACCUAGAUAGUCAAAGUCCAGGGAGGGAGACCGAAGUCACAGCCACCAGCCCCUGAGAGACACUGAGAAGCCUGGUGUACAUCCAUCCAGGCCUGGCUGCCACUAUUGGUAACAACUUCACAGAGAGCCUUGCAGAAUCCUGGCCAGUGUGGUCCCUGCAGGGUCAGGCCACUCUCAUUGUCUGAGCCCUGCCUGCCUGUUUCCCUGGGCAGCCAACCUGUCUAUGGUCCCUUCUUCCCAGGCACCUCCACCACCCACACCUCUACCUGAUCAGCCCUGAUUUUGGGAAGAGACAUCAUGACAAGAUCUCUUGAGAAUUCUAUCUCCUUUGAGGGCCUGUGUGAUAAAGAUCGAGAUGUGUUGUGUUUGGACAAUAAACAGCUUUUCACCACACACUGGGUAAAGGAGGAAGGAGACCCAUAUAGUGUGUCACCUCAGUUGGAGUUAGAACAGACCAUUAGGCUUUCUGAGCUAAAGAAAGAUUCUGAGCUCUUAAUUCAUUCAUCGUCUUGUAUACCAGAACAGCCUAAAGUGCCUUAUCCAGGAGAAGAGAAACCCAUCUGCCACAGAGCUGCAGGCUGCUGGAGAAAGCUGUAUUAUGUGAAUGGCCACACUUUUCAGGCCAAACGCUUCAUCAGGGCUCUUGAAGGACCCGUAUGCAUUCAGCAGGAGUCUAUGGAUUCUGGAAACACAGUGGGCUCAGUGGAUGCCAGGAGCAGAGGCAGCAGCCCUUCCCAUGUGCUACGAGCAGGAGGGGACAGGGGAGGCUCUCAGAUUUGGCUACUGAGCGAUGUGGAGAACACUCAGUAUAAAUUAAUCUUAAGAGAGUGGAGUGGAAAAAUGUGUGGGUGUACCUUGUGCCUGCCAAGGGUUGGUAUGUAGGAGACAGGCUGGCAGCCCCUGAAGAAGCAGCUGAGAAAGUCAGUGUGGUGUGGAGGAGGACUUUAGCUCUAGGGCUCAUCCCCAGCUCUGCCCUCUCUAGCUUCAUAAAUAGAGGCCAAUAACUGCACCCUUAAGCUUCAGUUUUCUUAGCUGUAUAUUUCAUCCAUUCAGUAAGUGUCUAUCGAACCUUGAUUUGUGCCAGAUCUCUUUGCUCCAAGUUACAUACCUUCCAGAGGGUCAGCUGAGAUAGCUUUAAAGGCCUUUGGAGGCAGAUGCUAUUUUUUCUGGUCUUAGGUUAAACAAUCUCCUGAGAGUUUCCUGUAAGAUCUAUUCUACAUAAAUCUCCUCUCUCUCUAAGUGCUUAGCAAAGGUUGUGUUUAGUGCCCUGUUCUUCAUUCUUCUUCCUUCUGAAGCCCUUAUUAGAUUCCAGGGAACCAUUGCUUUCAUCUCCCACUUACUGGCUUCUCUUCAUACCAUUGUUGAAUCUCUAGGGGCAGAUAGGACAGACUAAUUCAAGCCAAGUUAUUUGUUAUUGAUUUGCAUGCUUACACCUUUAAUCUGCUACACCUUCCAGGUAACAUUUGCCUAUUAACAGCAAUUUCCAACAUAUUGAUCCAAACAUCAAUCUCAAGAAGAAUUUGAUAGUGCUUGAAAAGUCAUUGAUUACAGGGAAGAAUUAAAGUGAAAGUAAGUGUCAGAAACUAAUAUCAUAUCUUUGAGUCUGAAGGAUUAAAGAAAGAUGGCAAUAUUAGCAAAUAUGGGGAACAAAUCAAGUUUUUCUAAAUCAGUUUUUAUUACUCAAAUAUUAUAUGUACAUAUUAUACUAAUAAAACGUGG